rnacentral:rRNA from 1 species
UACGUAGGGUGCGAGCGUUAAUCGGAAUUACUGGGCGUAAAGCGUGCGCAGGCGGUUCGUUGUGUCGGUGGUGAAAGCCCCGGGCUUAACCUGGGAAUGGCCAUGGAAACUGGCGAACUGGAGUGUGGCAGAGGGGGGUGGAAUUCCGCGUGUAGCAGUGAAAUGCGUAGAGAUGCGGAUGAACACCGAUGGCGAAGGCAGCCCCCUGGGCUAGCACUGACGCUCAGGCACGAAAGCGUGGGGAGCAAACAGG